rnacentral:tRNA from 1 species
GGAUCUGUAGCUCAAUCGGUAGAGCAGCGGACUCUUAAUCCGUUGGUUCGGGGUUCGAGUCCCCGCAGAUCUA